rnacentral:lncRNA from 1 species
AGGGGGCUCCAGCUGAAGGAAGAGAGGGCACUGUGACUUCACUCCACUCCACUCCCACUCCCUUCUCCUGACCUUUGCCCAGAGCACCAGCCAAUUCUGGAUCCUUGAUGUGGAUUCUUCGCUAAGCAGGGGCCUCCUUUAACAGAAAAUGCUUUACAUAGGUCUCCUUGUGCCCUGAACUCCUCCCUCCGGUGCCUCAGGGCCCAGAUGACAGCCAUUUAGCUGUCCUGGGGCCUGGUCCAGCUGCGUGUAAUGUGAUGCUGCUCCUUGGAGGCCACCAACGGUCCCAGGCUUUCCCAGGCCAAACGUGGAGAGGAGAUACCACAUCAAGAGGUUGGAGGGGCUGGUGGACAAAGACCACGAGCACAGAAAUCAGGAACUGGAAAGACAACGUUGCAGUGGAGUUGAGAAUGCGCUUCCGCCUUUAUUACCUCAUUUGCUCUUGACGACGACUCUGUGAAGAGGGCAGGAGGGAAAAGGCAGGAGAGCAACCAUCCUGGGCCAAGCCACCAUCCCCUCCUGCCUGGAUGACAACAGCAGCUCUGGGACACCCCCUUGCAUCCAAGCUUGCCUCCUCCCCUUCACCAUUGCCCACGGAAAUGAAGCUGGAUUGGUCUUCCUAAAGCGAGAAUAAACUCAUCUGCCACAAACCCCUGAGGCCUCCAUUCUUCUCAGUGCAGAGUCUGAACUCCAUAGUGUGGCUACCAAGACCUUCUUACCUGGUCCUGACCACCUCUCCAGCGCAGCGGCGCCACUGUGACCUCACACAAGAUGCCCAGCCAGACAGAACUACCUGCUCCUGCCGCCGCUGCUGCUAC